AGGAGUCAUACCCGUUCCCAUUCCGAACACGGAAGUCAAGCCCUCUAACGCCGAUGAUACUGGGGCUCUGAGCCUUGGGAAAGUAGGAAGAUGCCUGGU
rnacentral:rRNA from 1 species